rnacentral:snRNA from 1 species
GUGCUUGCUUUGGCAGCACCUAUGUUAAAUAAAGUUGAAAAUGAUACAGAAAUUACUAUGGCCCUUGCUCAAGGAUGACACACAAAUUCAUGAAGCAUUCCAUUUUUUU